AAAGUCCUUCAAACGCAAUACGAACGAGAUAUAGACGAAAAUGAGUAUAGGAAGUGCAAAAUAAAGUACCGCAUUUAGUCUAGAAAAGCUGAAUCAAGCUUUGGUAUAAAAUUUGAACAAAGGCACUAGCUAUCUAACCAAGUAGUUGGUUGCUGGCGAUGUAAAUUUUUUGUGUGCGCAGGUGGAAGGAUGGUACGGAGUGAGAGCUGCGUCAUAUGCCCUUUCAGCAGUCUCGACGCUAACGCUUCACUGUAUUUUGUUAUAUGGAUUAACGCUGUUGGUCGUGUCGUAGUUUUUAUAAACAAAGGAGAGGUGUU